rnacentral:lncRNA from 1 species
CGCAGCUGGUUAUCAGAAUUCAGAAACCCUAGUUUGUGAGUCUCUAAUUCUCCUUUGCUAUCAUCUCUGCUCUUGUUUUUCCUCAAUGAAUUUUGUAUCUAAUAUUAUUGAGUUGAUUUUUUAGAAGGUAAGAGGGAAAAAAAUGGCGGUGCCACUGUUGACCAAGAAGAUAGUGAAGAAGAGAGUUAAGCAGUUCAAGAGAGCUCAAAGUGACCGCAGAAUCACUGUCAAGGUAACUAACUCUUUUCAUGUUUCAGUUUUUAAUGCUUAGAAUUGUUAUUGUAUAAUUUGU